UAUUUUAUUUCUAAGCUCGCUGUUUAGAUGACCUCGUAGAGUGGACACAGGUUAUUCGUUGGGGAUAGCACCCAAAACCUACACGAGGACAUGUCCCACCGCACCAGUGUUGAUGGGGCACAGAGACAGACUUUACAAAAAUGUGGGCUUAUGUAUUUGUUUUCUCAGCCUGGCUCCAGCUCAAAGGAUGUCAGUCAGUGAUCUGCGAGGGACAGAGAGAGGCCCCUGGUGGCAGAGCUGUCCCCAUACCACAACCAUGUGUGCUGAGGUCGUACUGGUCCCAGUUUGCAGGGGAAGACUCCGUUCUGAAGCGAACAAAGCAGCAGUCCAUACGGUCCACAGUCCCCCACUCUGCCCACUUCCAGUGUUGACUCCCAGGCCCAAGAGAGACAAGGAUGUUGACCCCACCUGCAGUGCACCAACACGGGGCCCAUUUCUGGCAUCCGGGCUGCCGAGGAUCUCCUCACAAAGGAGAAAGGUGGAAACAAGAGGUCGGUAAGCAGAAGGUGCACGUUCUGAAGAAAUACAUAAGGGUAGAGGAAACAGGACCUUCCAUUUCAUCUGCCCCAACUACUGUUCCUGAGCGAGGCACAACACGACAGAAGAAAGCCGAGUGAAAACAAGAGAUUUAACUAUAAAACAAAACUUAAACAAAACACCCCAAGUUGAUAUAUCCAGAACUCUUGGGAGAUAGAACAGGGUAAAUCUCCUGCUGCCUGGAGUCAAUGAGGUCACUACUUCAAUGAGAGUCUGGAGGGCAUUGAAGUUAAGCAUGGACUUGAGUCAGAUCGUGGUCUUAAAACCUGACUUCUGCCAUUUCACAACUAAGCCACC